GACGAACGCUGGCGGCGUGCCUAACACAUGCAAGUCGAACGGAGAGGCCCUGCUUUUGUGGGGUGCUCGAGUGGCGAACGGGUGAGUAACACGUGAGUAACCUGCCCUUGACUUUGGGAUAACUUCAGGAAACUGGGGCUAAUACCGGAUAGGAGCUCCUGCUGCAUGGUGGGGGUUGGAAAGUUUCGGCGGUUGGGGAUGGACUCGCGGCUUAUCAGCUUGUUGGUGGGGUAGUGGCUUACCAAGGCUUUGACGGGUAGCCGGCCUGAGAGGGUGACCGGCCACAUUGGGACUGAGAUACGGCCCAGACUCCUACGGGAGGCAGCAGUGGGGAAUAUUGCACAAUGGGCGGAAGCCUGAUGCAGCAACGCCGCGUGCGGGAUGACGGCCUUCGGGUUGUAAACCGCUUUCGCCUGUGACGAAGCGUGAGUGACGGUAAUGGGUAAAGAAGCACCGGCUAACUACGUG
rnacentral:rRNA from 1 species